CAUGUGAAGCCAUGUGAGGGCAUUCAGCCAGACAGCAUGUAAUUACCCUGGCUGGAGCUGGGCCAAGCAGAGGAUCUGUGGCUCCCCAUCUGCAGGCUUAUUUCCAGCACUUCAAAUGAGAGAUUUCGACGGAACAUGCAGGAAUUAAUGAAAAAAAGUUAGUUUAUCUCUGGAUAUCUCCUCCAUCAAACCCACAUCAGACACAAAUAACUCACCUGCCCUGGACUGCCCUUCAAAGGCUCAUCUUACAAGCCCAAAUGAAAGAGCUGCUGGAGGCAAGGAGCCUUUCCUGUUCAUUCAGACCUGAGAUGACCCUAAGUGAGAGAUCGUAGCAGCAUAGUCUAAUGGAGAAGAAAAAUGGCAAUGAGGAAAGGACAACAUUUGGACAGAGUAAAUGUAUAAGGUCUCUGCGAGUCUCCCAUUCAAACAAGCACAAGAACAGAAGAUUUGGCACCAACCAAAACUGGAUUGGAGAGUUGGAGCCACCUUUUCAGAUAAAGGCUGGCAAAGCACUUUCCCAGGGGGUUUUUCUCCUUGGAGCACAUCUCAGUGAGGCUUCCUAAUGCUCAGUAAAGCAAGGAUCAUCUGGAAGAUGGCUGUUUCUCCAAAGAGAGGAGAAAACAUCCUUUCUGGCAGUACCCCAGCAAACUCAGAUGCUGUCACAGCAGAACAGAUGGAGGCUCUGCCAGAGAAGGAAUCCUGUUUCUGAGUUGCAUGAGCAUGGCAGUGUGGGCAAAGCCUUGGCUGCUGGGCACAGUGAUGUUCCAGUGCCUUUGGAGACAUACAGCAAAUUAUAACUGUUGGGAGCCUGGCUUUGCUGUGAGUGUUUCAGUUGUCAAAUGUAUUUGCUUUCCUUCCCUUUUUCCUCUCCUCUGGUGUCUCUGCUGACAGCAACAGGUUUCUUUCAGAAUUUAU